rnacentral:rRNA from 1 species
ACCAGACUCCUACGGGAGGCAGCAGUGGGGGAUAUUGCACAAUGGGGGGAACCCUGAUGCAGCGACGCCGCGUGGGUGAAGAAGCGCCUCGGCGCGUAAAGCCCUGUCAGCAGGGAAGAAAAUGACGGUACCUGAAGAAGAAGCCCCGGCUAACUACGUGCCAGCAGCCGCGGUAAUACGUAGGGGGCAAGCGUUAUCCGGAUUUACUGGGUGUAAAGGGGGCGCAGACGGCGAUGCAAGCCAGGAGUGAAAGCCCGGGGCCCAACCCCGGGACUGCUCUUGGAACUGCGUGGCUGGAGUGCAGGAGGGGCAGGCGGAAUUCCUGGUGUAGCGGUGAAAUGCGUAGAUAUCAGGAGGAACACCGGUGGCGAAGGCGGCCUGCUGGACUGCAACUGACGUUGAGGCCCGAAAGCGUGGGGAGCCAACAGGAUUAGAUACCCGAGUA